rnacentral:rRNA from 1 species
GACGAACGCUGGCGGCGUGCUUAACACAUGCAAGUCGAACGAAGAGCGAUGGAAGCUUGCUUCUAUCAAUCUUAGUGGCGAACGGGUGAGUAACGCGUAAUCAACCUGCCCUUCAGAGGGGGACAACAGUUGGAAACGACUGCUAAUACCGCAUACGAUCUAAUCUCGGCAUCGAGGAUAGAUGAAAGGUGGCCUCUACAUGUAAGCUAUCACUGAAGGAGGGGAUUGCGUCUGAUUAGCUAGUUGGAGGGGUAACGGCCCACCAAGGCGAUGAUCAGUAGCCGGUCUGAGAGGAUGAACGGCCACAUUGUGACUGAGACACGGCCCAGACUCCUACGGGAGGCAGCAGUGGGGAAUCUUCCGCAAUGGACGAAAGUCUGACGGAGCAACGCCGCGUGAGCGAUGACGGCCUUCGGGUUGUAAAGCUCUGUUAAUCGGGACGAAAGGCCUUCUUGCGAAUAGUGAGAAGGAUUGACGGUACCGGAAUAGAAAGCCACGGCUAACUACGUG